UACGGGGGGGGCAAGCGUUGUUCGGAAUUACUGGGCGUAAAGGGCGCGUAGGCGGCCUGCUAAGUCACACGUGAAAUCCCUCGGCUCAACCGGGGAACUGCGUGUGAUACUGGCGGGCUUGAGUUCGGGAGAGGGAUGUGGAAUUCCAGGUGUAGCGGUGAAAUGCGUAGAUAUCUGGAGGAACACCGGUGGCGAAGGCGGCAUCCUGGACCGAGAUUGACGCUGAGGCGCGAAAGCUAGGGUAGCAAACGGG
rnacentral:rRNA from 1 species